UACAGAGGGGGCGAGCGUUAUUCGGAAUUAUUGGGCGUAAAGGGCGCGUAGGCGGCCUUUCAAGUGACGGGUGAAAUCCCUCGACUUAACCGAGGAACUGCCUGUCAGACUGGAAGGCUUGAGACCGGGAGAGGUGAGUGGAAUUCCCAGUGUAGCGGUGAAAUGCGUAGAUAUUGGGAGGAACACCAGUGGCGAAGGCGGCUCACUGGACCGGAACUGACGCUGAGGCGCGAAAGCGUGGGGAGCAAACAGG
rnacentral:rRNA from 1 species